CUAAGCAAUGCUGCCUCGUUAAUAGCUGAUCGCCUGAUGUGGUAAAAGAAGGAAGCUAGCCAGCCGGUUACAUUUGUGUCAUAUAAUAAAGUAAUCUUCCAAACAACGUGGAUUUUUCCCAUCCUCACAUUAAAGCUUUGCAGUUGUGUUCGAAUGAUCUGCCGUUGUCAGAGAAUACUUGGCUUGGUCUGAAAUGCAGAAGGGAAAAAAAGGAUUAUAUAUCAAAGUUUGUCUCAUUUGCUC